GUGAAUUAGCAGGCUUUUUUUCUUUUGUUUUUGGCAGGAACAGCUGUGCUUAGAAGUGAACAAUAUUCAUUGCUGUAGGAUGUGAGCAGAGUUUCUUUCUUUUGGCUUUUGGGGAAAAAAAAUACAGGCAGGGACCCCACAGCUAUGUGUGGCCAACUCCACCUCACCUCCAUAGUCAGGACCUGUCUUCAGCAAAACUGCUUUGUAAGCACACUGUGACCUCCUGACUCACAAGCUCAUGAUACCAUUGAUGCUUUCCUGGGGAGAAGCUGAUGCUCCCCCAAUACCCUCUGCCAGCUGGCUCUAGCUGGCAGUGUUGAAGCCCUUGGUGCAACAUCCUGCAGCUAUGCGGGCUGGCUGUGCCAUGGGAACAGAGAAGAAUCAUGUUAAUUGGUGUUCUUUUUUCCAAAGUGUGCUGUAUGGAACAGCAUGGGAGUUUCAGUUUCUCUGGGCAAGAUCAUGGGGAGCACCCCAAGAGCUUAGGCAGUGGCCAGAAGUCUUGCUCACUUUUUGUCUAUGAACCUGAAUGCUGGAAGAAAAGAAGUGACAGCAGCGGUCAGGACCAGGGCUACUUUGUCCUCACCCGACACUCGCCUGUAGACCCUGAGGCCUCCUGUCUGUGCUCAGGACCCUGAGGGCUGGACUGCGCAUCUGGAGGGGCUCCUGGGCCAUGGGGGGCCUCCUGGAAGGGCACAAAGCCCUGAAAUUCAUGUGCUGGAGCUGCGCCUGGUCAUCUAGAGUCUUGGGGUCUUGCCCAGAAAAGGAAGCCUGUAUGCUGGACUUGGCAGAAGAGCGAGAUGGAGAAAAGUCCACGUGAGCUCACAGCAAGAAGGCAGCUGUCUGCAAGCCAGGAAGAGGCCCUCACUGCCAGAGCCCCACCAUGCCAGGACCUCAUCUAGAUGUCCAGCCCCCCCCCCCCCCCCCGCCGCCCCCCAACUGUUGUUUAAAGCCCCCGGGGGG
rnacentral:lncRNA from 1 species